AGAAACCAUAAUUAAACCGAGAGUCAGACAUUAACUCGAAAUCGGGGUGUCACGGUAGCUUUGUGGUUGCUAAGUGUGCUAGUAUUAUGGUGGAUGUUUAGAAGUACUAUCUGUAUUAUUAUGGAUGUUUAGAAGUAGUAUUUCUAUAGUAUUGUGGAUCCUAAUGGACGUACUGAAUCGUUGUUGUAAUCGUUCUAUUUGAUGCAUGGAUUUCAUCUGUUAUGGGUUGUAUGCAUGGAGAUAAACACAUUCUAUUUACUGAAGUCGAUCCUCAAGGACAACAAUUGCCAACUUCAAUUCUCUAAUCUCACUUUCAAGUUCUUCCUGGCCCUCGUUCAUCGAUGCUAACUUAGCCUUUAGAACAAGUAAUUUGGCUUUCCUUCUAUCUCCUUUCUCUUCAGCAAUUGAAAGUCGUUCUUUGUGAUCGGCCACCAGAUGCUUCAAUUCAUCAUAAGAACACUUCUAGAAACCACAAUCUGUGACCUUGUCCUGCCAAAUUAAGAACACAAACAAAUCGUCAACAACUGUUCAAACCUUAAACCCUAAAAAUUCAAAUAUAUUCAAGAUUACUAGUUACCUUCCACAGCCAACAUCGAUAGAACCUCCGACCUGGGUUCUUCCGAGUGGCAGAAACCUUCAAAAUGGUUUGUGCCUGAACACUUGUCGAUUAGAUCAUGUUGAGGAACAAGAUGGACUCCGACCGUUGUUUCCAUUCAUUUGACAAAGAGAAGAGAUCCUAAAAAAUAGAGAACAUAUGAGAUUGGAGGAAAAUCAAUUAAAUGUUAAUGGAGGAAGAAAUGGCAGGAAGGUAUGAAGCGCAAGGGAAGACGAAGACUUCUAAAAGAGGGACGAAGAUGGA
rnacentral:lncRNA from 1 species